UAAAGUCCAAUGGAGGUUCUUCUAGUUGAGUACCUUGGUGAGAAAGAGCAUCAGCUGCGUGAUACCCUGUCUUGACCGAGUAGUCUCUAGUCUUAUUAGGUAACCAAACAUAUCGAUCUCUGGCUCCAAAUUUGCUGGGUCUUAGAAGGAAGAUCUCCUUUUCAUAGCUGGGAAGUAACAAUCUUACUUUCUCUCUAUCCCAAGACUUUGUGGUUUGACAAAUAAGCUGAGCUACUGUCAUUGAUUUGAAUUGUUCAAGUGCAGGACCCAUUGGAGUUGAGGAGGUUGAAAGAGAUAGCCACGGUUCGUUCCAAACCAAAGUAUCCAAGCCCGAUCCAAUCACUUUCCCCAGCUGAGAUUUGAUUAG
rnacentral:lncRNA from 1 species